GCUUCGGCCUUCAGUGAGGUACACACACACACACUUUGAUUCAGCCACUUAAAUUCCAUUCAUUACAAAUAUGCAAAUACGUUUUUUAAUAUAAAAUGUUAUAUGAAUGUAAUUCUUUCAGUAGAGACAGUUGCAUGGUCAUCAGCAGAGAGGGAGGAGACUGAUGGAGGAGGUGGAGAGAGGGAGGAGAGAGGCAGAGAGAGAGAGAGAGAGAGAGGGAGGUGGAGAGGGAGGUGGAGAGAGGGAGGUGACUGAUGGAGGAGGUGGAGAGGGAGGUGGAGAGAGGGAGAUGACUGAUGGAGGAGGUGGAGAGGGAGAGAGAGAGAGAGAGAGAGAGGGAGGGAGAGAGAGGGUGGAGGAGAGGGAGGUGGAGAGGGAGAUGACUGAUGGAGGAGGUGACUGAUGGAGGAGGUGGAGAGGGAGGAGACUGAUGGAGGAGUGGA
ensembl:lncRNA